rnacentral:rRNA from 1 species
AGCAGCCGCGGUAAUUCCAGCUCCAAUAGCGUAUAUUAAAGUUGUUGCAGUUAAAAAGCUCGUAGUUGAACUUCAGGCCUGUCCAGAUGGUCCGCCUUAAUUGGUGUGUACUGUCCUUGGGUGGGUCCUACCUUCUGGCGAAGCGGCAUGGCCUUAGUUGGUUGUGUCGGGGAACCAGGACUUUUACUGUGAAAAAAUUAGAGUGUUCAAAGCAGGCAAAUAUGCUCGAAUACAUUAGCAUGGAAUAAUGGAAUAGGACGAUGGUUCUAUUUUGUUGGUUCUAGGACCGUUGUAAUGAUUAAUAGGGAUAGUUGGGGGCAUUAGUAUUCAAUUGUCAGAGGUGAAAUUCUUGGAUUUAUUGAAGACUAACUACUGCGAAAGCAUUUGCCAAGGAUGUUUUCAUUAAUCAAGAACGAAAGUUAGGGGAUCGAAGACGAUCAGAUACCGUCGUAGUCUUAACCAUAAACUAUGCCGACUAGGAAUCGGGCGAUGUUGACAAAAUGACUCGCUCGGCACCUCAUG